GCUCAAAGGAGCUAACUCACUUACCGAGGAUCCACCCUGAGCCAGCCUAUUCUCUUAACCUCUAUUCUGUAGUUUGGCAGGUAGCCGUCAACCCUGCAAAAGUCUGACCACCUGCGAAUCCCUGCGCAUUCUCUCGUGAGGAGGCAACAUGAGAGAAAAACAUGUAGGCAGCAAAAUAUCUGUGUUGAACAGGCUUUCCAGGACAAGUUGUCACAACCCAGAAGCUUCGAGGCCAAACGAGGAGGCAGCUGUGGGAUGCUAAGAAGACCCCUGGAAUUGGAGCAGCACCCAGCCCUGGAGGGGAGACGCACAGCUAGGGCUGUGGUUCUGAGAGACUCUGAAUCUUCUUGGAAUCAAAAAGCCCCACAGGCAGAUUUUCGAAGGCCAAGAAUUUUGGAACUCCUGCAGUCUUAACUCCCUGGAUUAACACUCUGUGACCAGACAACAGAGCAUAGCCAGAAAAAGUUCAGCAAUUUGGACUUAGACUCUUUUUCUGACUUUGGACAAUUUGCAUCCCUUUUCUGCCUCAGUUUUUCUUAUCUGUAAAAUGACUGCUUGAUCAGCCUAUAAAUCAGGCAAAGGAAAACAGAUUGCCUGGUUCAAACUUUAGGUGAACCACUUGCCAGCUACAUGACCUUGGGAAUGACACUUACCUCCCUAAAUCUCAGUUUCCUCAUCUGUAAAAUGGGGAUGGUAAGACCACCCACUGAAGAAUUGAUACUUUUGAACUGUGGUGUUGGAGAAGACUCUUGAGAGUCCUUUAGACUUUGAGGAGAUCAACCAGUUCAUCCUAAAGGAAAUCAGUCCUGAAUAUUCAUUGGAAGGACUGAUGCUGAAGCUGAAACUCCAAUACUUUGGCCACCUGAUGGAAAGAACUGACUCAUUUCCCUGAUGCUGGGAAAGAUUGAAGGCACGAGGAGAAGGGGACGACAGAGGGUGAGAUGGUUGGACGGCAUCACCGACUAGAUGGACAUGAGUUUGAGUAAGCUCUGGGAGCUGGUGAUGGACAGGGAAUCCUGUUGUGAGGCAGUCUAUGGGGUCCCAAAGAGUGAGACACGAUUCAGCGAUUCAGCGACUGAACUGAACUGAAGACCACCCACCUCAUAGGGUUCUUGGAAGAAGUCAAUGAGAUAAUGGAUUUACAAUGCAAAGCACAAAGUAAAUGCUUAGUAAAUCUUGGUGGUUGCUGCAAUCCUAGAGAAGAGAAAGAAAGAGGGUAGCUGGCAACAGACAGGCAGAGAUAUAUAUUUAAAUUUCAAGUGUUCCCACCCAAUCUUGCCGAACCCAUCCUCCUCCAGAAUGCCUGUGCCCAUCAUACACAGUGAAAUGGACAGGACAUUUUAGAGACUGUAGGUGAGAUGUACGGGAGGGUAAUGCUUGAGAAACACUGGACAAUGCUUUCUAAGUGCCAGAGAAAUGGAUAUUGCCUUUUAGCCCAAUAACUCCACUGCUGAGAUACAAGGACAUUAUUUGACACACACAAAAAAAGAUGUAAGUACAAAGUGUUCAUCUGAGCUUUUUAUAAUAAAAAAAUUG
ensembl:lncRNA